GAUCGUGGUUUGAUCAAUGCUGUUAAGAUAAAUAAAACGUUUGAUAAUUUAGUGAGGAAUGAAACGAUUCGAUGGAAGCAUUAUCAGCGG
rnacentral:antisense_RNA from 1 species